GGAAGUUGACUAAUGCCUCGGAGCAGUCUGCACAGGGAGACCAGGACAAGUAACAAGUGACCGUGUAUUUGAGAUUACGAUCCAAGGUUUCCAGGUUCUCCAGAAAUCGAAUCUACAUAAUACAUACAACAGUUGGCUGCGAUUAGCUGACGACCAAUUCCGGGUGUUCCCCGCCUGCUGCCCGAUAACUGCUGGGAUAGGCUCCAGCACGCCGGCGACCCCCAUGGGGAAAAGCGGGCCAUACGAUCUCAGCGGCAGAUGUAUGAGUACGCACCACUAAUGAAGAUGGCCAAUGGGGCAGUGGUCAGCGGAAUGACAAGUGGCGCACCGGCAAACAAGGAGUAGAUCACCCCUCCGAUGCUCUGGCCGACUAUGG